rnacentral:rRNA from 1 species
GUCAUUUAGAGGAAGUAAAAGUCGUAACAAAGUUUCCGUAGGUGAACCUGCGGAAGGAUCAUUAUUGAAAUAAACCUGAUGGGUUGUUGCUGGUUCUCUAGGGAGCAUGUGCACACCUUGUCAUCUUUAUAUCUCCACCUGUGCACUUUUUGUAGACCUUUCAGGUCUAUGUUGCUUCAUUUACCCCAAUGUAUGUUAAUAGAAUGUUGUGCCUAUAUAAUAUAUACAACUUUCAGCAACGGAUCUCUUGGCUCUCGCAUCGAUGAAGAACGCAGCGAAAUGCGAUAAGUAAUGUGAAUUGCAGAAUUCAGUGAAUCAUCGAAUCUUUGAACGCACCUUGCGCUCCUUGGUAUUCCGAGGAGCAUGCCUGUUUGAGUGUCAUUAAUAUAUCAACCUUCUCUUUUUUGAGUUGUUUGGAUGUGGGGGUUUGCUAGCUUCUUAAAUGAUUCAGCUCCCCUGAAAUGCAUUAGCAGAACAACCUGUUCAUUGGCGUGAUAAUUAUCUAUGCUAUUGAAUGUGAGGGCAGUUCAGCUUUCUAACCGUCCUCGGACAAUUCAUCAUUAAUGUGACCUCAAAUCAGGUAGGACUACCCGCUGAACUUAAGCAUAUCAAUAAGCGGAGGA